rnacentral:rRNA from 1 species
UACAGAGGGGGCAAGCGUUGUUCGGAAUUACUGGGCGUAAAGGGCGCGUAGGCGGCCUUCUAAGUCGAACGUGAAAUCCCCGGGCUCAACCCGGGAACUGCGUCCGAUACUGGAAGGCUUGAAUCCGGGAGAGGGAUGCGGAAUUCCAGGUGUAGCGGUGAAAUGCGUAGAUAUCUGGAGGAACACCGGUGGCGAAGGCGGCAUUCUGGACUGUAACUGACACUGAAAGACGAAAGCCAGGGGAGCAAACGGG